rnacentral:misc_RNA from 1 species
UUAGAUAAUUUGAUUCCCACGUAUAUAUAUGUGUAUAUAUACACAUACACACACAUCACAACAUUACAAUAAAGCGUUGAUGCACUCGCCCAGUUAAACGGGUGAAGCGCUAAUGUCUGAUGGCCCUGCGGCCACCGACCGACUUGUUAAUGAUCCUUCCGCAGGUUCACCUACGGAAA